CGUUUCUGGCCGCGUGGGUAGGUUCCGCGCAGUGAGAGGUAGCGGUGUUUUACUCGCGGCUCCCGCUUUGUACGUUCGCUGGCCGUGGACGAUUUGCGAGUAGUCCAGCUUAGGGGAAAAAAGCUGAACAAACCUGGUCACAGGGAUUCACUCAUCUCUUCUACUGCAACAGGCCUAGGCCCAUCCCUAACAUUUGCCAGGAUGAGUGAAAAUGGAGGACCAUAUACCAUAAGUCUAAAUAUUUUGAAGUUUUAAAUUAAGCUCACAGACUGUUAAAAUACAUUCUCUCCUCCUACUUUGGUAUACUUUGACAAAUAUAUUUUCAUAAUAACCUGGAAGCCAGAUUCAAAUUUAGAAUUCUUGACUCCUCAGGCUUUUAGUCUCUCUCUGAGAGAGCCCCCUUCACCUCAGUCCCCCUUCUCUUCUCACCCCUUGGCUCUAUUCUGCACUGCAACGACCCUUGACCCUCAUGUGCACACAUAAUGACACUCCAAACUUCUGUCCAAGCUCUGUCUACACUUUGUGAAUAUAGUCACCCCAUGGCCACCUCUCAGGAGGACAGAACUGAGAAAGAGGACUGUGCGGACCCUGGAAGCAAGCUUGAGCUUUUGGGUAUGUAAUACCUUUACGAGUACAAAAUCCAAAAGGCGGAAAGGUAUAAUGAAAGGUAAGUCUCCUUCCAAUCCAUGUCUCUACCCAUUCAGAUUUUUCUCUUAGAGUCACCACUAUUCUGUUUUCUUAUGUAUUUGCCAGAGCAGGUCUGACUUUACAGGCAUGGGACCUGUGCAGUCAUAUAGAGCCCUGGGUUAGAAGAGCCUGUGCUUGGUUUAAUACUCUGCCAUUCUUAAUAAUUUCUGAAUAAUUUCAUAAUAAUUUCUGAAUAAGGAACUCUACAUUUUCAUUUUGCACUGCACUGGGCCCUACAAAGUCCAA